rnacentral:misc_RNA from 1 species
CCCAGAAAAAGCCACACCACACGUAUUCUUAUUGCCAAGAGAACGACAUUUCACCUCUCAGCAGCCAUAGACAAGCUCUCGUUUCAUUCGAGGAAGAAAGAACUCGCCUCCUCCUCCUCCUCCACACAGAUUUGGUCACUCUUGAUGCACACAACACGAAACAACAGAACAGAGGUCACUCGCAAAACUGCUAUAUGUACAAACUACAAGAGCAGAGAGCAGAGCACUGUACAAAAAAAAAAAAAAAAAACUACAGGAGCAGAGCACUUGGGACCUGGUCUGUCUGGGACCAAGGAAUUCUGGGAGGAAGUGGGUGCCAAAUUUUGGUUCCGAAACCGGGGCAAGAAGGGUAGCUACUAGCUAGCGAUCCGGCUUGCGAUCACCACCAGCUCCAGCCGCCGCAGGCAGGUAGGAUCUCUUGAUAAACUCCAAGCAAUCGGCAAUGGCCUCUGCAUGGAGGGAGUUCUCCUCCCUCUCUGCUGGCGCAGGUCGGUGGUGGCGCCUGUCGCCGUGGCUGACCGCCAUCUUAUGACUCCUCCUCCUCCUCGUCGUAGUCCUCCUCGUGGGGCAGCAGUUGAGCUCCUCCAGGCACCGGGCAACGAGGCCGGCGAGGCCGCCGAACAGCCGCACACGGAGGCGGAGAAGCGAGCCGAGCCGGACGUGGCGCCCCCGGCGGCGGCCUCGACGGCUCGCCUGGCGAUCCAUCGCCGGCCGGCCUCGACGGCUUGCCUGAAACCUGGAUGGAGCAGGUGCGCUGGGACCUGGGAGCAUGCAAUGUGUGUGCGCGCGCGGGCCUCUUGUUAUAUAUAUAUACACUAACCAGUCAC